GAGCUAAUCCAAUAUACCUCAUUUCUAUACUUUUGUGAAAUAUAAUUUCUCCACCCACUUGGACUUCUUUUUUCCCUCUCUCUCUCUCUCUCUAUAUAUAUAUAUGGUCUUGGUCUUCUUCUUCCUUCAUUCUUCUUUCUCUAUGGCCUCAUAUUUCCAUAUUGAACUUUUGAGUUUUAUGCAGAAAAAAAGAGACUAAAAUAGAAUUCUAGAAGUUAGAGAUACAAAUAAGAAAAAGGAUGACAUCAAAUUCGAAGUACUUUAUGUUUGGACCUCACAAGAUACAUGAAAAUUUUAUAUUUUACACCACCAAUCUUUCAUCUGCAAUGGUCAACCUUCGUCCUGGUCAUAUCCUUUAUCUCUUUUAUUAGUCAUACUCUUUGUGGGGGAAAUUAUUAAAGUUUGAGAUUGAAUUUCUCGUUAUUAUUUGAGAGUGAAAUUCAUAUAUUUAUUCAACUUUUGAAAGCAAAAUAAGUAGCUAUAUGUUUUUUAUCGAUAAACUUUGGGGAUUCUUCGAUGUUUUACAUCGGUCACUAGAAUUUUGAAUAUAGUUUUUGAACAUACUUGAUCGUAAGUUAGUUUAAUGAUAAGAUAAAGAUGAUGCAUGUCACACCUAAAUAUGAAUUAAAAUUUUGUUUUUAAUAAGUGAAAAAAUAUUUUUGUUUUUAAGCUUUUCGGUGUUUUCUAAGAAUAAUAAUAAAAGAAUAAACUAUUUAUACUUAACGGUAAAAAACUACUAAAAGACAAAAAUUCAAUUAAAGAUUUUGUUAUCAAAUACAAAAGUUUUGCCACUUUGUCAUUUUUGUUGAGAUUAAGGAAAGCACAGAAAGGACAGACUUUUUAUUUGUAAGUUAUUUAUACUUUAUAAAAAAAAGUCAAGUGUACUAUAUUUUUAUUAUUGAGUGAUUUGUAAAUAAUUUAUUUUUUAUUAAUUUUUUACAACACCCCUUCAAAAAAUGACAAAAGCAAAGUUAAAAUAUUUUUAAAUGACUUAUUUUCUUAUGUGGGUUAAAAUUGUUAGUCAAUAAAAUCUCAACGCACAACUUAUCCAUCACAAAUCUACAAAUAAAAGUAGAUUUUCGCCAAAGAAAAUGUUUAGUUCAACUAACAUUAAAGUACGAUAGAACUAAGAUGUUGACGAUUUAAAUCUCUACACCUUUAUUUGUAUUAAAAGAAAAGUACAUUUAGGAUAAUGAACGAAAGUAUUAAGUUCGAAGAAUUGUUUAAUCAAAAAUGGAAAAGUUGUUUUUGAGUUUAACAAAUAAAAACAUGUAUAAGUGAUCCCAAAGCGGAUGGUUAAGCGGUUUGGGGAUCUAAAUGGUGAAGAGGUAUGCGAUCUAUGGCUCACAGCUCAACUAAUUGGCGCUAAAAUGGAGCUCUUUCACAACGCUUCCUCCCUUACUUUAAACCUUCAAGAUGGGCCAGAAGCAGGACAAAGUGUAUCACAUGUUCACAUCCAUAUUAUCCCGAGGAAAGCUUGUGAUUUUAAGAGAAAUGAUGAUAUCUACGAUGCGAUGAAUGAAAAUGACAGAGAAUUAUCAAAGCAACAUAUUGAUUUGGAGGAGGAGAGGAAGGACAGAGGCUUUGAGGAGAUGAAAGAAGAAGCACUUCAAUACACAAAGCUUCUCUUGAUCUAGACAUUAAUGUAAUACUUAAUUAUGUGAUUAGGGUUGUGAGUUUGGUUGUGUCAAUUUUAAAAAAAAAACAUCAAAUUUAUGUAUAUAUUAUAGAUAUGAUAUGUCAAUAAAGUAUCGAUAUUCAUCGUCGUUUUA